rnacentral:rRNA from 1 species
UACGUAGGGUGCGAGCGUUAAUCGGAAUUACUGGGCGUAAAGCGUGCGUAGGCGGUUCGUUAAGUCAGAUGUGAAAGCCCCGGGCUCAACCUGGGAACUGCAUUUGAAACUGGCGGGCUUGAGUAUGGCAGAGGGGGGUGGAAUUCCGCGUGUAGCAGUGAAAUGCGUAGAGAUGCGGAGGAACACCGAUGGCGAAGGCAGCCCCCUGGGCCAAUACUGACGCUCAGGCACGAAAGCGUGGGGAUCAAACAGG